rnacentral:rRNA from 1 species
AGUACCUACGGGGGGCAGCAGUGAGGAAUAUUGGUCAAUGGGCGGGAGCCUGAGCCAGCCAAGCCGCGUGAAGGAAGAAGGCGCCAGGCGUCGUAAACUUCUUUUGUCGGGGAACCAAGGGCGCCACGCGUGGCGUUGUGAGUGUACCCGAAGAAAAAGCAUCGGCUAACUCCGUGCCAGCAGCCGCGGUAAUACGGAGGAUGCGAGCGUUAUCCGGAUUUAUUGGGUUUAAAGGGUGCGUAGGCGGUCCUGCAAGUCAGCGGUAAAAGCCCGGGGCUCAACCCCGGCGAGCCGUU